rnacentral:rRNA from 1 species
ACGAAGAACCUUACCUGACAUUGACAAAAGAUCCAAAGAUAAGAGAUCUCUUCUGAGACCCCAAAACACAGGUGCAUCAUGGUCGUCACCUCGUGUCGUGAGAUGUUGGGGAAUAACCCCAACGAGCGCAACCCCUAUCUUUUGUUGUCAGCACGUUAAGGUGGGAACUCAAAUGAGACUGCCGGGGACAACCCGGAGGAAGGCGGGGAUGACGUCAAGUCAUCAUGCCCCUUAUGUCUUGGGCUCCACACGUAUUACAAUGGGAGCAUCCGAGGGCAGGGAACAUGCGAGCGCGAGCGAAACCCAAAAACCAUCUCCCAGUUCGGAUGCAGUCUGCAACCCGCCUGCAUGAAGUCGGAAUCGCUAGUAAUCGCGGAUCAG